GUGCUUAAGUAUCCACUUCUCCUCAGAUUGAGGUGGAAAACCUGACUCCUCUGAUUAGUGGACAGCUGAAUGAACAAAGAGAGCACCAGGAAGCUGAAAUAACCCACAAUAAUUGUGCCUGCCAGGAAAAGACGCUCGAAAUUCAUAUUCAUAAACAUCUGGAGUCCUACACCUCUGCAAAUCAUCUGGGAGUCAGAAUAAUGAGUGUGAAUUUAUUCCUCACAAAAUGAAUGCCCAGAGUUCUACUGAGCCAAGACAUGUGAUGGCUCUUUGGAGAAAGUCCAAGUCCAGCUCCAUAGCUGGAGGCAGUCUGUCAUACCUCCUGG